CCUUGCAACAGACAAGUGGCAUGACCUCUGGCUCCCAGGCCAGUGGUCCAACCACUUUGCCAUGCUGCCUCUCUCAUCCAGUGAUCAGCACAAAGACAUUUCCCCAUUUCAGAUGGGAUGUAUACCAGAUCUUCAAAUUGCGGGAGACCGGAGAUUGCUUCUUGCCUGAAGAGCCUCUUGGUCAUUGAAGAAAACACACUUGUCCGCGUUCUUUUGUGACUGGCUAGUUCUCCUAAUGUUGCAAAUAAAGGCACAGCCAAAUUGGAGAGGGGGUUCUCUGUGCCACUCGUACUUCUCCGGAGAAAAUCACCAAGCGGGUCUUGGGAAGAAAGGCCAUGAGGAAGUGAUGACAAGGAACAAUCCUUCUGGGCUCCAAAGGGAUAUUUAUUCCUGGGAUCCAGCACUGAUCUGGUUGUGGGGGGGACCAGUCUGUGUUUUUAUGAGCCGCAUGGAUGUGUGUUUCAGGAGAUUCGCUUUGCCUAUUUUAAUCUAGACAGGGAUAGAUUUGAUGUAAUAAUCAAGGAGGGUCAGGUUGGAGGGGGGAAGUACGAGGAGGGAAAGGAUGACAUCGUUUCUUUUGUGUCGGGUUGGUCAUGGUAAUUCUUUCUUCUUCCCAGCCUUAAACUGAACCUUCUUUUGUAUGUUUUCAUACUUCUAGAAAAGAAAUUAAACACCUUUUGACUGACAUGGAGACAAGAAAAGAAACUAUCGCUUCCUCCCCAUCCUGAUAUGUGUGUCCCACACCACCAAGGAAG